rnacentral:rRNA from 1 species
UAUUAACUGGAGAGUUUGAUCCUGGCUCAGGACGAACGCUGGCGGCGUGCUUAACACAUGCAAGUCGAACGG